GACGAACGCUGGCGGCGUGCCCAAUACAUGCAAGUUGAGCGCUGAAGGUUGGUACUUGUACCAACUGGAUGAGCAGCGAACGGGUGAGUAACGCGUGGGGAAUCUGCCUUUGAGCGGGGGACAACAUUUGGAAACGAAUGCUAAUACCGCAUAAAAACUUUAAACACAAGUUUUAAGUUUGAAAGAUGCAAUUGCAUCACUCAAAGAUGAUCCCGCGUUGUAUUAGCUAGUUGGUGAGGUAAAGGCUCACCAAGGCGAUGAUACAUAGCCGACCUGAGAGGGUGAUCGGCCACAAUGGGACUGAGACACGGCCCAAACUCCUACGGGAGGCAGCAGUAGGGAAUCUUCGGCAAUGGACGAAAGUCUGACCGAGCAACGCCGCGUGAGUGAAGAAGGUUUUCGGAUCGUAAAACUCUGUUGGUAGAGAAGAACGUGGGUGAGAGUGGAAAGCUCAUCAAGUGACGGUAACUACCCAGAAAGGGACGGCUAACUACGUG
rnacentral:rRNA from 1 species